AGUAAACACUUUACCAAGGUCUUUGACAAUCACGUUUGGACCAAACUCUAGAAGAUUAAGAGCUUUCCCNUUCGGGGACAAAGUGACAGUGGUGCAUGGUUGUCGUCAGCUCGUGUCGUGAGAUGUUGGGUUAAGUCCCGCAACGAGCGCAACCNUUAUUACUAGUUGCCAGCAUUUAGUUGGGCACUCUAGUGAGACUGCCGGUGACAAACCGGAGGAAGGUGGGGACGACAGUCAAAUCAUCAUGCCCACUUAUGACACUGGGCUACACACGUGCUACAAUGGAUGGUACAACGAGUUGCGAGACCGCGAGGUUUAGCUAAUCUCUUAAAACCAUUCUCAGUUCGGAUUGUAGGCUGCAACUCGCCAUACAUGAAGCCAGGAAUCGCUAGUAAUACGCGGAUGAGCAUGCCGCGUGAUACGUCCCGCAUUCUU
rnacentral:rRNA from 2 species